rnacentral:rRNA from 1 species
CUAUACAUGACUCUGCGCAUAUCAAUAAGCGGAGGAAAAGCAUAACAGUGUAUACCUACGCUUAGGAUGUUGACGAGACUGUCGAUCUCAUCUAUACAUGACUCUGUGCAUAUCAAUAAGCGGAGGAAAAGGAUACCUACGCUUAGGAUGUUGACGAGACUGUCGAUCUCAUCUAUACAUGACUCUGUGCAUAUCAAUAAGCGGAGGAAAAGAAACUAACAAGGAUUCCCUUAGUAACGGCGAGUGAAGCGGGAAGAGCUCAAAUUUGAAAUCUUCAAGGUUUUACCUUGACGAAUUGUAGUUUAAAGAAGUGUUUUCUGUUGGAGUUUUGGUAAAAGUUCUUUGGAAUAGGACAUCAUAGAGGGUGAGAAUCCCGUAUUUGACCAUUACUUUCCAGCUGUGUGAUACACUUUCAAAGAGUCGGAUUGUUUGGGAAUGCAGUCCAAAAUGGGUGGUAAAUUUCAUCUAAAGCUAAAUAUUGGCGAGAGACCGAUAGCGAACAAGUACCGUGAGGGAAAGAUGAAAAGAACUUUGAAAAGAGAGUUAAACGGUACGUGAAAUUGUCAAAAGGGAAGCGUUUGACACCAGUGUUGUUUUCUCGAAAAUCAAUUAAAAAUGGCUUGAUUUUGUGUUGUAUUGACUUUAUCGGCUUUCUGCACUUUUUUCAUGUCUUUUUUAAUGCACUUUUCGUUUAACAAGUCAACAUCAAUUUCUUUUGUUGUAAAAGAGUCAUUGGAAGGUGGCUUUCAUUUCGGUGAAAGUGUUUAUAGCCUUUGACUUCUGCAAUCGGAGAGAUUGAGGUCUGCAGCGUAGAUCCUUCGGGGUUAGAUACAUUUGUGCUAAGUUAUAGUUUUUCAUAGACAACAUGUUGACUAUGAUUAAUCAUGUAGCUUACUCGCUUAUGCUAUUUUACCUACGCUUAGGAUGUUGACGAGACUGUCGAUCUC